CAGGAACUCCAAAGUUAUUUUUUUAAAAGAAAGAAAAGCAAAAAUCCAAUGCCCCCAAAUAUCACCUAUAUAAAAACAGAAGUACUCUCUGAUUGAUUAAAAGAGAAUAUUCUAGAUAGAUGCUGCUUAUAAAAGCCACACACACCUGAAAUUUUGACUGUUGGUUUACCAAAGUGAUUUUAAUGUGAAACAAGCCAAGAGACAGAAAUAAAGGGCACAAAUUCCUCUACUGUAAGUAAAGGAUAUGUGAAAUCAAUGGAAUAAAGAUGCUGCAUAGAAAAGACACAGCAUCACUCUAUUAAUGGGACAAUUAUUUCUGACUUUCAGGACUACACAACAGCAUUCAGCUGCCUAUGAUACCAUCUAAUUGGGGUGAGGAUCCCAUCCCAUCCUUUGCAAAGUUGCCUUUCAUGGGGUUGGUUUGAUUUCCUGCCUAGCCCAUACCAGCUCUUCUGAUAAAGUCCUCAAAUAUUCCUGAAUGUUCACUUUGAAUGAAGUUACAUCUGAAAUCAAUUUUCCAGGCAUAUUAUCAUCCUAGAAGACUAGGAUUUCAGAUCUGCUUGGGGAAAUUCUGCAAACAUAAUUGUGCAGAGAAGUUGAGAGUAAAGGGUUAACAGUAAAGAGAUGAAAAAAGAUGUACCAUGGUAAAGCAAUCAAAAUAAAAUGGUAGUGAAAGUAUUAAUUUCAGAAAAGUAUAUUUCAGAUCAAAAUAUUAGCAGGCCUAAAGAAAGUAAUUUUAUAAUGAUAAAUGAGGAAAUGUAUCAAGAGGAUAUAGCAAUUUAAAUGUUUAUGCACCUCAUAACAGACUUCAGAUACAUGAAGCAAAACUGAAAAAACAGCAGGAAAAAUAAAUUCACAAUUACAGUUAGAGAUUUCAAUGUAUUCCCCUUUCAAUUCUUUAUAGAACAAGUAGGCAGAAAAUUAGAAAGGAUAUAGUUGACCUGGGUAACACUAUCAAGCAACAUGACCUAAUCCACAAUUAUAGACUACGUGAAUAUAUAUUCUUUGGUCAUGGAACAUUCACCAAGAUACACCAUAUUCUGGACCAUAAACAAGUCUCAAUAAAUUCAAAAGCAUUCAAGUCAUACAAAGUAUGUUCUCUGAUCACAUGCUAUUAAAUUAGAAAUCAAUAACUGAACGAUCCCUAGAAAAUCCCCAAGUAUUUGGGAAGUAAGUCACAUACCUCUAAUUUUAUUAUGAUCUUGAUGGGCAGAGAGGACCUCAGCUGUAAUCCAGGUCACAGUGUACACUGGGAAACUGGCAUAAAAGAAAGAAAGACUAUAAAAGCUUGGUUUUCCAGCAUAGAAAAAAUAUAGAUAACAAUUACACAAAAGUUUGGGGGUGAGGCAGAGAAGUCCUUUGGGGCUAAUAAUCAGUGUAUUGGCAGAGAUCUGGUAUGGAUCCAACCUCUUCAUCCACAGUUUCCCAAUCAUCUUAUUCCUCAAGGGUAGAGACUCUUGGAGAUGCCAGUAGCUUUGCAAACUCAGUAAUGGGUCUACAUGGGGCCAAUUAUUCUCACUUCUUCACCUGCCUGAUUAGCCCUCAUCAGUGAACCCAACAUCCUCCCAGCUGACAGCUGAUGGGCCACCCAGGGAAAAAGAUGGCUCUGCGAUGUCUCUCUUCAGCACGGGAUCAGUUGUGAGUGCCUCUCAGGGAGGGGGCUGCCUCACUCCCCUCACCACGUGAGAGGUUAAAAUCAGUAGCAGGCUCUGAUCCCCAGAUUCAAUCUAUGGAUCCAAUGAGCCUGGUUUUGUCUUAACUGUUUUUCUAGUGAAACUUUGCUCUGAUCACCAGAGCAGCACUCUGCCACCAAGUCACUUGCCUUAUUGGAAUCAUGGUUUGCUUAAGAACAUCUCAAGCAACCUCAAAGGAGGAAAUUCACUGGUGUUUGAUUAUCAUCAGGUAAUACUCAGAUUUCUGGGAAGUGUUAACUACUGAUAUAUAAUCUGUAAGGAAGGGAAUGUCCAAGACAGCAAUCCUACCCAUAGGCUGAUUUGCCAAGACAUGGAGAAUUCUAGUAACUUAGAAAAGGAUAUUUGUGGCUCAGGAGGAAGAUCUGUUUGCUCCUGAAGGUACCCGAUGGUUUAGUGUUUUUCAAAGUACUCAGAGACCAGCAAUUUCAGAUUCACUAGAUAUGGGGUCUGGCUGUAGACUUACUAGACCACAUUUUCUCAGGUUGGGACCUGGAAUCUGCACAUGCAACAAGCUUCUCCAGUGAACCUUCAGCAGGGCACCUUAAUGUUUAAGAACCAUUGUUUGGGAUCACUCUUGCUCAGAGAUACUGGCUGCUCUCUUUGGUUGUAGCUGUACUUCAUUGUACUCCCACUCUGCUAUCCUAAGGAGGAGAGCAAAGAGGCAGGCAAAAACAAGCCACUUGACUACUCAUUCCUCAUCUACAGGCCCCAGGCACCUGCUCUCACUCCUAGACUCUCCACAAGCUGUUUUCUUAUGAUAGGACUACUCAAGUUUUCUUCCUAGUUUUCAUUCACAGGUACAGACUGCAGCCAACAGAUCUAGUGGUUACUCCAGCAUCCUUUGAAAGACUGUCAGAGAUGUUGGUUUUUCCAUAAUCCCUUGCUUCACUAACGCUCUAUAGUUUGAAUAGUUUUGAGUUUAGUGCAGACCGGAAAAGUGAGACGAAAGGGGAGGAGAAGAGACAGAGAGAAUGGAUUUAAAGCAAGUAAUGAACCUGGAGGCUUUGCUCAAAUACCCAUUGUGUUAUCCAUCACCCUACCCUAUACCAUCCCAUGUCCGCACCUGAGUGUUGGCCCUAUUCCUACUCUUCUCUGUUUUUGUCCAUUCUUCUAAUUAGAGAGAUCCUUAAAGACCUUUUACCCACGCUGAAAUGGUCUAUUGAAAGAAGAUGUGAAGCUGGAUCUAAAGAAGUUCUACUUUACUUCUACCAUUCCCGAACUUCCUUGAAGUUCCUGUAAAUUAUUGCAUCCUGGGAUUUGUACAGUCAAUUCUUAAAAGUUCUUAUAAUUUGCCUUGAAGCUGAGUUUGCUUUUGACACCAAUAGGGCCAAUGAUAUUUGCAACCCAAAUCUAGGGCUAUCCACAUUCUUGCACUGAUGGGAUUUGUUAUAAACUAGCAGCUGUUGGGUUAAGAAUGGCUGACUGUUACAUCUCAGUGUUACCAAAUAAAUCACUUAUGCUCUAUGUGCUCUAAAAGAAGUUACCAAUGCUCUGUGUUCAGAUUUGCUCUCUCAUAUUUUAAGUGUCUCACCUUCAUUAGGGCAGAUUACCUCUUUGAGCAUUUAGUGCUUUCUUCUUGUCAUUAUUCACAGUGUUCUAUCAACAGCCACAGCACAUUCACUACCUACUUGACAGCUAAAUUUAGUUAUCCAUAUGUCCAGAGUCUUUUAUCUGACAGUUUGCUGAUUCUGGAAACUGCCAGUAGGAUAAACCAGAAUCUUUGCCUGUUUGAUACAGCUCUUUCCUCUCUGGAAUCCUCCCAACACUUUUCACAGCUAUGUUAUUCAUUUACUCUCCUGAGGGCAGGAGAAGGGGGCUCAAUUUCGUCCUUUUCUAUCUCACCCCAAUCACAUCUGCUGGUUUCAAAGUCUUCACAACAUAGAGUUCCCGCCGUGGCUCAGCAGACUGACAUCAUUGAGGAUGCAGGUUCGAUCCCUGGCCUCACUCAGUGGGUUAGGGAUCUGGCAUUGCUGUGGUCUGUGGUGCACGUCUCAGAUCCCAUGUUGCUGUGGCUGUGGUGUAGGCCAUCAGCUACAGCUCCAAUUUUAUCCCUAGCCUGGGAAUCUCUAUAUACUGCAGG
rnacentral:lncRNA from 1 species